GUAUCAUGUGCACGCCUGUUGAUUGGUGCUUGAUCAUGAUUUACAUUUGAGUGAGUGGCGAACUGGUGAGUAACACGUGGGAAACCUGCCCAGAAGCGGGGGAUAACACCUGGAAACAGAUGCUAAUACCGCAUAACAACUUGGACCGCAUGGCCCGAGCUUGAAAGAUGGCUUCGGCUAUCACUUUUGGAUGGUCCCGCGGCGUAUUAGCUAGAUGGUGAGGUAACGUCUCACCAUGACAAUGAUACGUAGGCGACCUGAGAGGGUGAUCGGCCACAUUGGGACUGAGCCACGGCCAACUCUUAUACGGGAGGCAGCAGUAGGGAAUCUUCCACAAUGGACGAAAGUCUGAUGGAGCAACGCCGCGUGAGUGAAGAAGGGUUUCGGCUCGUAAAACUCUGUUGUUAAAGAAGAACAUAUCUGAGAGUAACUGUUCAGGUAUUGACGGUAUUUAACCAGAAAGCCACGGCUAACUACGUGCCAGCAGCCGCGGUAAUACGUAGGUGGCAAGCGUUGUCCGGAUUUAUUGCGCGUAAAGCGAGCGCAGGCGGUUUUUUAAGUCUGAUGUGAAAGCCUUCGGCUCAACCGAAGAAGUGCAUCGGAAACUGGGAAACUUGAGUGCAGAAGAGGACAGUGGAACUCCAUGUGUAGCGGUGAAAUGCGUAGAUAUAUGGAAGAACACCAGUGGCGAAGGCGGCUGUCUGGUCUGUAACUGACGCUGAGGCUCGAAAGUAUGGGUAGCAAACAGGAUUAGAUACCCUGGUAGUCCAUACCGUAAACGAUGAAUGCUAAGUGUUGGAGGGUUUCCGCCCUUCAGUGCUGCAGCUAACGCAUUAAGCAUUCCGCCUGGGGAGUACGGCCGCUAGGCUGAAAACUCAAAGGAAUUGACGGGGGGCCCGCACUAGCGGUGGAGCAUUGUGGUUUAAUUCGAAGCUACGCGAAGGACCUUACAGGCUUGGACAUACUAUGGCAAAUCUAAGAGAAUUAGACGUUCCUUCGGGACAUGAAUACAGGUUGGUGAAAGCUGAUCGUCAGCUCGGGGACGUGAGAAUGUUUGGGAUGAGGUCCGUCAACGAGGCAACCUUUGAUUAUCAGUGCCAGGCAUUCAAGUUGGCACUCUGGUGAACUGCCGUUGACUAUCGGAGCAGUUGGGCAUGACGUCACUUCAGUCAUGGUCU
rnacentral:rRNA from 1 species